rnacentral:rRNA from 1 species
CCUACGGGCGGCAGCAGUGAGGAAUAUUGGUCAAUGGUCGGGAGACUGAACCAGCCAAGCCGCGUGAGGGAUGAAGGUACAGAGUAUCGUAAACCUCUUUUGUCAGGGAACAAAGGCGGGGACGUGUCCCCGGAUGAGUGUACCUGAAGAAAAAGCAUCGGCUAACUCCGUGCCAGCAGCCGCGGUAAUACGGAGGAUGCGAGCGUUAUCCGGAUUUAUUGGGUGUAAGGGGGGCGCAGGCGGUCUUGUAAGUCAGAGGUAAAAGCCCGGGGCUCAACCCCGGCCCGCCGUUGAAACUGGCAGUCUCGAGUUGGAGAGAAGUAUGCGGAAUGCGCGGUGUAGCGGUGAAAUGCAUAGAUAUCGCGCAGAACUCCGAUUGCGAAGGCAGCAUGCCGGCUCCACACUGACGCUGAGGCACGAAAGCGUGGGUAUCGAACAGGAUUAGAUACCCGAGUAGUC